UUCUAUGAUGAUUUAUCCAAUUGUUUGAGGUGUAGGUUACUUAAGGCCCCUGUUCUGCAGGGAGAACCUCCUUGAGUUCCUUCAUUCAUAUGAUAUUUUUGGAUCUUCUGAGAA
rnacentral:snoRNA from 1 species